AGAGAAGCCGUUGGAAUGUUGGACACUUCAGACGCUGGCCACCAAAAACAGUGUGAACCUCGGUGCUAAGGGCUUGAAUGCCACUGGGUUGUAGUGCCACCAACAGCAAGGGGAUCGCGUCGUGAUGGAAGAAGGGGAUGCGCGGGAUCACGUGCGAUCCAGCAGCAAUACUGGCGCGAGGGGGACAGAAAAUAAAGAAAACAUUGGUUGUGUGAAAACCUGUCGAGUCUUUUUCUCACAUGUGCUACACAAGGUAUACUAACGUUCUCCUCAUUGUGGACAUGUACUGUGAUAGGGACAGCAGCUGCCUUUGUGUAGUAUUUCUGAAUGCUUUGUUGUUGUUACUAACACAAAGCUGUCACAUAAUUUAACCUUUUACUUCACUAAAAUUAUAAAUGAACUGUAAUAAUUACAAGAGCAAGCCUAAAAAUGUUGAUACUUCAUGUUACUUUGCCUGAAAAAUGUUAGUUUUUGAAGCAUGAA